GAAUUAUUAUACAUAUUUCGAUACGAAUAACUUUUAAUUAAAAUUAAAACUCUAAUUAAAGAGCUGAACAACCCAAACAAAAAAUUGUAUUAAGUGGUGUUGCGGUUCAGAAGAGCAUACAAAUUUCCUGAAGGUAGAGAAAAUUGUCCAGAUAGAGGACAAUUGGCAGACUUGGCGGAAAUUGAGCGGAAGCACCAUAGAGGCCGUGAAGUUGAGUGAGAGUGAACAGAGAAGUGAGAUAUUAUGGAGAAGCUAACAGCGACAGUCGAAACGCUGUAAACAUUGGCAUGUUAAUGAAAGAGAUGAUAAUGACGAAAAUAGAGCGGCCUAGCAGCGGCAGCUGCAUGCAGUGGUUGAGGUACCGAAAGGACGAAAAUAAACGGGAAUUCGAUGUGAACGAAAAAAAGUUAUAAAUAAAAAUCGUUUACCUACACACAACCACACAUAAGUAUACUCACAUAUAUGUA